UACGUAGGGUCCGAGCGUUGUCCGGAAUUAUUGGGCGUAAAGGGCUCGUAGGCGGUUAGUCGCGUCGGGAGUGAAAACUCAGGGCUCAACCCUGAGCGUGCUUCCGAUACGGGCUGACUAGAGGUAUGCAGGGGAGAACGGAAUUCCUGGUGUAGCGGUGGAAUGCGCAGAUAUCAGGAGGAACACCGGUGGCGAAGGCGGGUCUCUGGGCAGUAACUGACGCUGAGGAGCGAAAGCGUGGGGAGCGAACAGG
rnacentral:rRNA from 1 species